rnacentral:snRNA from 15 species
ACAUAGUCCAAGACAGGGUCAUAGGUUGAUCAAGAAUGCCAUGGCCCAGGUCAACGACCUCCUUUGCACUUCAGUGGUGCAUCAUCCUUAGGACUGCUUAUUGUGGCAGUGGAGCCCUGUCAUUAUUUUCGGCAGCGGAGCCCAGCGUUCGUAUGGCCCUU